CGGUUCAAUUGAGACGACUCGGAGAUCAAGCUACAAGUCAGGGAUCAAAGUCUUCUGGGUCGUCAACAUUGCUUUCCUUGAUCCGGUCUUCAAUUUCAGUUCCAUGGUCAGGUCAAGCAGAGAAAGAGAGAGUAAAACAGUGCUAUUCUGCAUUCCUGUAGAGAGAGAGUAAAACAGUGAUGCGUUGAAUCUAAUCUAUAAGUCGGCUUGCUUUUCCCAUGGUCAACAAUGGCGGCAACCAACCGCCAUCUAUGCUCCAUAUACUCCCUACACAGCAGUGCCCGCUGCACUGUGUGUGUUGAAUUUAUGAUAUUAUGGCCUCAUGCAUUGGUAUUUUCAUGUGUUUCUGGAGCUUUGUUACAGACAAUCCAGAGAUAUCCAAACAGCCCCUAAAGGAACGACGCACCAUGGUCGACAACUUUCCACUGCAUCACUUUUCACCAAUGAUCUAAAACACGACUUGGACAAGCCCACCACACACAACGCAAUGAUUGCCAAAUUCGAUCCACUUCCAGCCAAGAGAAUCUUUCGUUUCCAUGGUAAGGAUUUGAUUUUGUCCUAAGGCCUUAUUUUAUUUUCAUGGAGCCUAGGCCGUACAUAAUAAGCCUCAUCCUCCAUUAAUAGACGUGUUCCAGCCACUUGAGUUUUUCACAAUUUCUAUCCAUGAAUAACAAUGGCCUCCUGGAUCGGUAGGUUCCUCUUCUCUCUUCUCUCUCUAAAAGAGUUUUUCAUGCGUUUGUGGAGCUUUGUUACAGGCAAUCCAGAGGUAUACUCUUCCUCCCUUUCUCUCUCUCUACAAUUCAAAUCAAUCUCUCACUACAAUUCUUGCGCGAUUCUCUCUCUUCCUCUCUUGCUUUGCAGGAGCUUCCCAGUGGCACACAACAGACAGGUGCUGCGCCAGAACCAGAUGUGGAGGUCAUAAACAACCCGCUGAGAACCACCCGAGACCUGUGGGAAUCCGGCAGCGACACUAAAACUGCCAAUGACUCAGAGCUCAAGUGCAAGGAUGCGAUCUCAAUCGCCACAACCUUCGGGGCUGGUUCAUUUCUUCGAUCCAUGAUCCUCUUGCCCACAAACACAACAACCAGAGUCUAUGCUAUCGGCACCCUACUUGUGAUUUACUUGGUUAUUUUCCUUACAGCUGCCGAGAUGCUAUAUCUCAUAUUCCAAGUCCCACCCUCUCCUAGAGCCAUGAAAGCUAUCAAGUUUAUGGUACGAUUCCACCUAGUUCUAUUAGUUGUGGUUCUUUUCAUUGAGUUCUAUGUUCAUCUCCCAGACAAGAUGCUUUGGACGGUUGGCUUGGCCUGCGUUGUCGUUCUUCUAUCGCGCUUUGUUGUGAUGAGCUACUGGAAAACUUUGCUGUCCAAACAGAGAGAGUCAUAGAGUUCUUAGAGAGGGAGAAGUUGUUGGGUUGGAGAGAGGGAGAUUUCAGAGAGAGAGAGGUUCUUGGGUUUUUGCAAUUGUCUGUGUAUUGUUGUUGGUAUGGUCAUAACAGAGAGAGAGACAUAGAGUUCUUAGAGAGGGAGAGGUUGUUGGGUUAGAGAGAGAGGGAGAUUUGAGAGAGAGAGAGAGAGAGGUUGUUCGGUUUCUGCAAUUGUCUGUGUAGUGUUGUUGGUAUGGUCAUUAUGGAAUGAUUCUUUGAGCUUG